rnacentral:rRNA from 1 species
UACGGGGGGGGCUAGCGUUAUUCGGAAUCAUUGGGCGUAAAGGGCUCGUAGGCGGCCAACUAAGUCAGACGUGAAAUCCCUCGGCUUAACCGGGGAACUGCGUCUGAUACUGGAUGGCUUGAGAUUGGGAGAGGGAUGCGGAAUUCCAGGUGUAGCGGUGAAAUGCGUAGAUAUCAGAAGGAACAUCAGUGGCGAAAGCGGCUUCCUGGACCAGAACUGACGAUCAGGCUCGAAAGCGUGGGGAGCAAACAGG